GCGUGAGCCACUGUGCCUGGCCUGUUUGUGUGUUUUUUAAUAUUUUUUCUUUAUUUUUAAAUUGAGACAGGGUCUUGGUUUAUCAUCCAGGCUGGAAUGCAGUGGUGUGAUCAUAGCUUACUGCAGCCUCCACCUCCCAGGCUCUAAGUGAUCCUCCCUCCUCAGCCUCCUGAGUAGCUAGGACGACAGGUGUGCCCCAGCAAAUCAGCUAAUUUUUGUAUUUUUUGUAGAGACAGGGUCUUGCUAUAUUACCCAUGCUGGUCUUGAACUCCUAGACUCAAGUGAUCCUCCUGCUUCAGCCUCCAGGGUAGCUGGACCUGGCCCACCUUUCCUUUCCUCUCCAGCUUCUAAAAUUUGAGCUUCCUGGACUCCCAGGGGCGUUACUAGGCAACUGUGGCAACUCUUCCCAGUUCUAGAAUGGAGCUACAGGGCAGCUGGGGGCAAAGCAAAAGGUGUCCCUCCACUCCACCCAAAAGUUGACAGGCUCAGGGAGUACCAGAUGUUCCAUAACCCCAAGGCCAGGCUCCCUCUGGGAACCAGAAGUUUCCAAAACAUUGUAUUGUUUCUUUAUCUGUUCACCUGUCCGCUUGGGAUGGCUGUAGAUAGCUACCAUUUAUUGAGCAUCAGCUGGACCUACAUGUGGCGCUGACUAAGCAUUACCCUUUUGAAUCCUCCCAUCCAUCUUUAUAGGAUAGUAUUAUGCCCUUAUUUUACAGUUGGGAGAACCAAACCAAAUGAAGAAUCAAGGCUCCGCCAGGCUCGGUGGCUCAUGCCUAUAAUCCCAGCACUUUGGGAAGCUGAGGUGGGCAGAUCACCUGAGGUCAGGAGUUAGACUAGACUAGCCUGGCCAACAUGGUGAAACCUCAUCUCUACUAAAAAUACAAAAUUGGCUGGGCAUGGUGGUGCAUGCCUGUAAUCCCAGCUAGUUGGGAGGCUGCAGCAGGAGAAUCGCUGGAACCCAGGAGGCGGAGGUUGCAAUGAGCUGAGAUCGCGCCACUGCACUCCACCCUGGGUUGACACAGCAAUACCCUGCCUCUAAAAUAAAUAAAUAAAAAAUAAAUAAAGACUCAAAGGCAUAACUUGCCCUAAAAUCAAAGGGCAAGGAGUAGAGGAGUCAAGAUUCCAACCCCUGUCUUUCUGGCUCCCCUAUACCAACAUAGCCUUAGUGUAAUGAAAACAGACCGCUCAGGAAGGCUGACAGUGAAGCAAGGCUGGUCUCUGAGACCCCCGGGAGAUCAGCUCUGACGGGGCCUCAGGAAUCUCCCGGUAGAGUUUCUCUACCACAGACAUUUCUCUUUCCUUGCCCCUCACACUGAGCUCUGGCUCCUGAGUAUUCCUUAAAAAGUUAUCAUUGGCUGGGCGUGGUGGCUCACGCCUGAAUCACAGCACGUUAGGAGGCUGAGACGGGCAGAUCACUUGAGUCCAGGAGUUUGAGACCAGCCGCACGACAUGGCUAAACUCCAUGUCUAGA
rnacentral:lncRNA from 10 species